UGUCAUUGUCACCUUUGUUUACUACUGUCCAAGUCCAAGUCUCGCAUUCAUACAACUUUAGGGUUCUACCAUACAUGUCCAUUAUGGUUCUUGUUCAAUCACUAUGUUCAUCUACGUUAGAAACAUAAUAUUGAAAUUCUAACCAAAGUUCACAUGUAAUUUAACCCCACUAUGCAUGAAUGACUAUACAACAAUAUGCUCAACAAAGAGGUGAAGUAGACAUAAAGGGGAAUCCGAUGAUUCCGGUGUGCACCCCCCACCUUGAGUGGUAGUAGAUGAAGAAUACGAUGACUCCCGAACUUUACGAAUGCCGAAUUCGCGUCCUAUAACCAAAAUAGUGCCAAAUUAGGCCCUAUAUUUUCGUAACGUCGAACGGAGUUAUCCAACGCGUCGGGAAUACCCCCAAUUAGGUUUCCAAGAGGUCAAUUUGCCUUGAAAAAAUUCUAUGGCAAAAGCCCUAAUUUUGAGCCCUAACAAUGUCAUAUGUAAAUUGCUCCUAGAUUGAUCUCAUCCCUAAAGAAAAGUAAGCUUAGAAUCAACUAGGAAGCAUUCUAAUACCAUUUUCAAGCCUCUAGAACCAUUCCUAGGGCAUCUACCAUGAACCCUAGAAGUUCACCAUGAGAGCACCUCAAGAAAACCAUGUGUCACGCCUCGGGGCCCAGCGGAAGCCCGCGCGGCGCGUGCCCAGACUCGCCAUAUGUCUAAAACAUAUAAGGCGUCUACAACAAAGCGAUAAAUAAAGCAAUAAUAAAAGAACAUCUAGGAGUAUCAGAGCAUAGUAUAUCUAGAUUUAUAUAACAAGAAAAGGUGAAAGAAGCCAAAACCACUAAAAGGAACCAUAAAGUAAUACAACAAAAAUCCGAGUACAAGAGUUAAAAGAGUACAUAGGUGGUCUCUAUACAAUACAACGAAGGUGUCCUCUAGCCUCUCAGCACCCUAUAAAUGUAGGAACAAGGGUUAAACGAACCUUACGAUCAACCCUAAACUGAAACAUUAACCAACUCAAGGUAAGGUGGAGAGAACUCACCUCUAGAGUAAAAUCUCUUCUCAAGCUUCAAAAGAAAGCUAGAAUCCUUCUAAUCUAACCUAGAUGAAGGUUCUAAUCCAAGUGAUUGAGCUUCAAAAGCCUUAAAUCCAAAAUGCUCAAAAUCAAGCCCUAAAGUCUCAUUCUAGGGUUUCAUCUCAAAGAAACCCUCAAAUCUCGAAAUCUAGAGGAAAGAACAAGUCACUUACCUCUAAGAAGCUUCAAUUCAAGCUCAAAACCCUCUAGGUUCAAAGAUCUUCCCCCAAUCAAGCUCCAAGUCCAAGCUCCAAGCCUCUACCAAGGUGGAAAUGGCACCAAAGAGCAAAAGAGAGGAUCAAGCCACCAAAAACCCAAGCAAAAAUCAAAGAAGAGGGAAUGGGAAGGUAUGGAAGGGUCCCUUACCUCUCUCCCUGCUAUUCCAAGCUCAAGGGACAGCCCUAGGGGUGUGGGUGGUAAUAUAGAGAUGCCACUUUACGAAAACACCCCUGCAGUUUCGACCAUUCAGAAUCUGUCAUUGCGUACUGGUACACGGGCCCGCGUACUGGUACACAUCCCACGAAAAUACCAAACCCUAGCCUCGGUGUCACGCCCUGCGACCGCCCGCCUAUUUGGCCGGGUCGCGGCGCCGCAACAGAUCGCCGAACGGACAGGGUUUCCCCUGUACUGCGGACAGAGUCUCCCCUGUACGUUCAAGGCAUAGCAAUCAAUACAAUGUACAAAGUUCUAACCAGGAACACAUUUCAAUCAAGAUUGUAUAAUGGAAGGUAUCAAACAACAUAACACAUCUUAUGUUAUUACAUGCAUUCACAUUCAUAUAUUUUACAUCCCAAAUACUUAUUACAUUUAACUUCCAAAUACAAUCCGAUUUAACAUGAUUAUUACAAUCUUAUUCCUUUCAUUUUCUUACAUCUUUAAGAAAAGCCGACUCAGGGUACCGCUAUCUCUGGUCUCGGUGGUAGGGCGCUAACUAUGAUGCUACGCCCUCGCCUCGCGCCGCUGCGCCGCUCACGUGUGAACCUGUAACACCCCAAAACCACGUGGGGUGAGAACCAACUCCAUGGUUCCCAGUGGGUACGGCCACCCAAGGGAAAAGCUCUACCAAUAGGUCCAAGGGAGGCAACUGCAAGUUUGUUCAAUAAACAGAUAGAUAUAUAUCUUGAUUAUGCAACGAAUAAAACCAUGCAUUGCCUCACGAAUGCAAUAAUGUAAUGCUAUAUGCAAAUCAUGCAAUAAUGCAACUAUGCAACCAACUAGUAGUUCAUUCGAUACUACUUUCAAUUCUGCUAACCAUAGCUCAUCCAUUUGAUAUUUAAGGUUUCCUCUAUCUUAGAUUCUUGUCAAUCACUGUUUAAAUCAUAAGGUUUCAUCUUCCUUUACAAGGCUAACCACCCGACUCGGUCUUGAGUAAAUCGUCUGCGGAGUACCGCACUAGAACCAGGCUCGAGGCGAUGGACGUCUCACAUACACCUCAGCCCUAAAUCCUCUCGACUGGGAUACCAAUCCAUAACUCAUAAGGUAUACUUGUUGUACAAUCAUUUGGCUAUGACCCAAUCUUACCGGUUAACCAUGUUAACCCUAAUAACUCACUACCAAAAUCCCUUAAUAACGGGGGACUCGAACCUCCCUGGGGACCGUCAUCUGGGGGGACUUUACCACGCCCAGUGGUGACCAACUCCGGAGCGCACCGCCCGAGGGGGAGCUACCUCUCUCAAGCCAAGACGUAACGUGAGUAUCGAUCCAAUCCUCAACUUGAGGAUUCAUAGCCACUCGUCACAAUGCCAAUGUCAUGAUAGGUCUCUACCUAUUUAAUCAUGCCACUCUCUAUAUCAACUUGGACCAAUGUCAAUAUGGUUAAACUAUGUUUAACAAUCACUUUCUUGAUGCCAAUCAUGUCUCUAUUGUCAUUGUCACCCUUGUUUACUAAUGUUCAAGUCCAACUCUCACAUUUACACAAUAAUAGGGUCCUAAUAUACAUGAAUGACACCAGAAUAUAUAUGAUCAAUCACCACAAGUGUUUGCUAGGUUCAAGAUGCUAGGUUUAAUGCCACUCGAUCUAAUAUAUAUAUAUAGAUUGUCCACUAUGUUCCACAACAUGGCAAUAUGUCAUCAAGUAUGUUUUUCUAUUUAACAUAAUCCACAAUAUGUAAAUUCAUAAUAUAUCAUCAUGCACAUAUACCACUAGCAUCACAUGAUUUGUCAAUAUACAUAUAGUCAUUAUCCAAAAUAGUCCAUACUUAGCAUCUCAUGCAUUCUUGUAACACUUAAUUCAUUAUACAUUACAUUUAGCAUAUUCUACAACAUGUCAUCAUACAUUCCUUUUAUGAUGUUCUUAUAAUGCUAACAUUCAUACGCCCUUUAUAUUAUGCAUUCAAAACAUUAAUCAUAUGCAUUUAUCUAGCAUUUCUAUAGUAUGUUAACAUGCAUUCUUUUCACAUUCUUAUAUUAUGUCAAUAUGCAUCAAUAUGAAAUCUCAUUUCUUAGACAUAAAGGGCGACCUAGUCGCUUCGGUAAGCACAACCCACCUCAUUUCGCAUUCCGAUUGCUUGUCGACACUUGCAAUCGGCCGCCCGCGGCACCCGGCACCCGGUUUGACCCGAUCUUUUGCGCGACCACCCGAACGGCCUCCAAUUCACGAUCCGAAAAUUAAAGGUCUUCGGUUAUGUGCCACGAUACUUCAAAUCCGUUUUCAUGAUUUUACGAUAUCGCCUCGGCCCUCCCGGCGGACCCGAAGCCUAAACGUCUAUUUCUUUAAUAACUUUGUAACGGCUCGUCGGAUUGCCGAACCGUCUUCGCCAACGCGUUCGUUUACCUAGCAAUUUGGUUUACGGAGGGUCAAAUGAGAUCAAACCCAUACAUUUUACAAAACCCCAUUCGGAGCCCUAACAUGCAAUUAAUCUCUAAAUAAUCCAAAUUAAAUAGAGCAAACAUGUUUAGAAUGCUCAUUAGAGGCUAUUAGAACACUUAAAACUAAGGAUUAAGCCAAAUCACAAAAGCUUACUUCAAUGUGAACGCCGCGACGAAAAUACGCCACUCCAACGGGCGCACGAAAGCUCGAUCCGUCGCCUCCAAUGCGUUCGCAAGCAUCUUCUCCACCAACCCUUCAAUUUUUAGAGAGAGAUUUAGAGAGAUGAGAGAGAUCUCUAGAGAGAGAAGGGAGG
rnacentral:lncRNA from 1 species